AUUGAACGCUGGCGGCAGGCCUAACACAUGCAAGUCGAACGAGUGGCGGACGGGUGAGUAAUGUCUGGGAAACUGCCCGAUGGAGGGGGAUAACUACUGGAAACGGUAGCUAAUACCGCAUACCAUCGGAUGUGCCCAGAUGGGAUUAGCUAGCAGGUGGGGUAACGGCGCACCUAGGCGACGAUCCCUAGCUGGGCUGAGAGGAUGACCAGCCACACUGGAACUGAGACACGGUCCCGUCUCCUACGGGAGUCAGCCGUGGUGAAUGUUGCACAAUGGGCGCAAGCCUGAUGCAGCCAUGCCGCGUGUAUGAAGAGGGCCUUGGGGUUGUAAAGGACUUUCAGCGGGGAGGCGUUGCCCGCAGAAGAAGGACCGGCUGACUCCGAGCCGGCAGCCGCGGUAAUUC
rnacentral:rRNA from 1 species